rnacentral:tRNA from 1 species
GCCUAGCUGGCUCUGUUGUAGAGCGCGUGAUUCUUGAUCUUGGGGUUUUGAGUUUGAGCCCCACGUUGGGUG